GAGGACGAAGUGGAAUGCUGCUUCUGAUGCUGGAGCCAUUUCUGUUCGUGUCCAGCUGCUUUUUCCAAACAACAACUUCACUGCCAAUCAUCAUCGCCUUGCAGAAACUGCUGUUCCUCUCUCAAUGAACUGCUGGCACCACACAGUGCAGAGAGGACAAAGCUCCAAAGCCUUUGACACCUGAUUCACAGCACGUUGGCAGAGUGAUAAGAAUUUGCAAUACCUUCAGCACAGAAAGACACAUGGCAAAUGCCCUCUGUCCUUCCCUGGACCUCAUCCAGUCACCUAGAGGACUACUUCUCCUCAUGCAAAUGAAUCCUCUAGCUGGAAACUAUUGCUCUGGACCGCUGCAGCCCUUCAUCUCCCAAGUAGACCAGUGAUGUGCCAUACCCACAGAGUCCAAAGCUGUACGGGACUUUGGGCUAGGUUCUGUAUUUCAGGGAAAGGACCUUUUUGUAAAGAGCAACGAUUUCUGCUCUGUGCAAAUGUUAUAAUAGGGAUUUUUCACUUUGCAGUUGAAGGAGAAACUGACUGGGCUGCAAAACUGCCCAGAUCCCUGCAGCUGCCUGAGGGGACAAUCACAAAAGCCAAGUUCACCCUCUUAGGAGACUUUUCCCCAAUAGCCCUGGUCAGCGAGGAGGAAGGCAAAUCAGCUCCUCCAGGCAGCCACAGCCUCCCUGGCCCCCUCCACUAGGAACAUGGCAGCGACCAAGGCUGUGGUCAUCAACUCCUUCUACUGAGGAAUUCAUACCUUGGUGAGCUUGGCUUUGGUUACAAGAUUAAUUUCACUCACUUCUUUCUCUAAGGCUUUAAAUAAUAUAAACCAGAACAUUUUAAAAAGUUCUAAAUGCUUUAAAAACAUACCUCAAAUGGGCUUUCGUCAGAACAGAGAAACAAUUGCUAUUAAGACAUCUGUAAAUAGCUUAUUCCUUAUCCUAGUGCAUGCAGGAAUGUGGCGUCAGGUCUGUGAAAGCUUCCCAACAUAUGGGGAAAACUGGAUAAAACCCAAACAGACCAGAAACUUUUUAUGUGUGUGAAAAAGAGUUUGCAAAUAAAAAUGAAAUGCGAAUAUUGUA